UUCCACAAUGGACGAAAGUCUGAUGGAGCAACGCCGCGUGAGUGAAGAAGGGUUUCGGCUCGUAAAGCUCUGUUGUCGGGGACGAAUGUGCAGUAUUUGAAUAAAGUACUGCAAUGACGGUACCUGACGAGGAAGCCACGGCUAACUACGUGCCAGCAGCCGCGGUAAUACGUAGGUGGCAAGCGUUGUCCGGAAUUAUUGGGCGUAAAGGGAGCGCAGGCGGGAAGGUAAGUCGGUCUUAAAAGUGCGGGGCUCAACCCCGUGAUGGGAUCGAAACUAUCUUUCUUGAGUGCAGGAGAGGAAAGUGGAAUUCCUAGUGUAGCGGUGAAAUGCGUAGAUAUUAGGAGGAACACCAGUGGCGAAGGCGACUUUCUGGACUGUAACUGACGCUGAGGCUCGAAAGCCAGGGGAGCGAACGGGAUUAGAUACCCCGGUAGUCCUGGCCGUAAACGAUGAAUACUAGGUGUGGGAGGUAUCGACCCCUUCCGUGCCGGAGUUAACGCAAUAAGUAUUCCGCCUGGGGAGUACGGUCGCAAGACUGAAACUCAAA
rnacentral:rRNA from 1 species